rnacentral:snoRNA from 1 species
GUAAUCGAUGAUAACGAGAUGGUCUCACAUAUUCUUGCUGGUUUAGAUCAUAAUUACAAUCCUGUCGUUUCAUCUGUUAUGGGCUGAUCUGAUCCCAUCACCCUUAGUGAUCUUUAUGCUCAAUUGAUGGCCUAUGAUA